rnacentral:tRNA from 1 species
GCAAGUGUAGUAUAGUGGUUAUUAUUUCUGUCUUCCAAAUAGAACACGCGAGUUCGAUUCUCGCCACUUGUA